rnacentral:lncRNA from 1 species
ACUAUAAAAAUUUAUUAUACGCAACCUUUUUCACAUCUCGACAGUUUGGAGCUUAAUUAUAAAAAAUCUUGAAAAAAUCUCAAUUUUGGACCUAUCAAAAUACAUAAUUAAUUCCUGAUACAUCGAAUGAAGAUACAACUUUCCUUUGCAAAGAUACAUAAUUAGCUUUCAAUAUAUUUUUUUUCGAUUUUGAAUCUGUCGAGAUACAUAAUAAAUAAAUAAAAAAAUUUACUUUGUAAAAGAUACAUAAUUAGUUUUCGAUAUAUUUUUUCAAUUUUGAGUCUGUCGAGAUACAUAAUUAGCUCCCGAUACAUUCAAUAAAGAUAUAUAAUUAGUUGAAAUUUUUAUAAUUACUUUGUAAGAAUAAAAUUUUUGUAUAAAUAUAAUAAGUUAAGGCAUAUAUUUCUAUUAUUUUUCAUGAUUAUUUUCUUAAUUUGAAUUUAUGACCCGUGUGAAAUAAAAUGUGAGAAAUAAAUUGCCAUAAAAAGAUGAGAAUUAUUGAUAGAUAAACAGUCAAAGCUUAGAUUAAAUGUGUCCCCACUUAAAGACUUUUUAGACUUUAAAAAGGAGAGAAUCAAAUCAAAUUCCAUAGAAAAUUGAAUAAUUUGUAACUUUCAAACUUUGUCCAAUCAGAAAAUUAAGAAAUAAAAAAUAAAAAAGAGAAAAGGACUAAAAAUGGAAAAAGGGGAGAAAAUUUUACUUUAUGGAGCACAGUGUCUUAAUUAAGGAAAAAACUUUUUGGCCAUAAAAUUUGGCCAUAAUUUGGCCAUAAUAGUAAUAAAUGUUAUUCACAUUAUAAACUAAUUUAUUUUAAGACAUUUUUACUCUUUUCUAACAUUACUUUAUUUAUUAUACAAUUUUCCAAUACAUUGAAAACUAUCCCAAUACAUGGGAAUGAAUAAUUUAUGUAUUUAAUUAUAAUUAUUUAAUUUUAUUAAUUGGCAAUUACACAAUUAAAAAAUCAUCAAAUGUAGUAAUAUGUUAUUAAGAAAAUAAAAAUUAAUUAGUACAAAUUUAUUUGUUAAUUGUUAGUUAUAUUUUUUCUUUUUUACAUUAUUAGUUGUAUAAUUUUUGUUCAACUUUAAAUUAUGUAGUAUAGUUUAUACUUUGUACAUAUUUUAAAAAAUUUAAUUAAAUUGUUUUACUUAUUUUUUAUCUAGUUCGAUUUUAUGAUUUUUUUAAUGAAUAUGAAAAUUAUUGUAUGGAAAUAGAGUUUUAACGGUGAAUCCCGAAAUAGUCAGAUAAGUUUUAAAAUUUUUCUUCAAAUAUCACUUAUAUUUUAUUUAGGAUCACAAUAUCACUCAACUAUCACUUUUUUCCUCAAAAAAUAGUAAACAUCUCAAAAGUUUUCUUCUCUCUUGGUUGACAUGAAUGUCACUAAUUUUUAUUUUUAUUUUUAAAAAGAAUAAACUUAUUUAACUCAUCAAACUCAUUCAAUCAAACUAUAGUUCUUUAUUUCUUUGAAAGAAUGCAUUAGUUUUUUUAAAAAAAUUAUACUUAAAAAAUUUUUAUCGGUACUAAAACUUGACGUAUAUUUUUUCAAGGGUUAUUUUUGUCAUUGACCACUCAUAAUUUUUAUUUUCAUACAAAAAUUAUUUUUAUCUUUUUAGAGAUAAUAAUAUGACUCAACUUUCACUAUCUAAAAAAAACAAGUAUCGUAUAUGUCUCUUUCUCUUCUAAUUGGCGGACGAUGUUAUUAAAUUAUUUUUUUAAUAAGAGACUUAUUUAAAUCAUCAAACUUAUUUAGUCAAAAUUAUAUUCUUAUUCUUUUCUUUAAAAUAUAUUAAUUUAUUAAGAAAAAAUUUUCAUGCUUAGAAAUCUUUUAUCAUUACUUAAACUUUCAAUUUUUUUCUAAAGUUAUUUUUUUGGAUUAUUAUANNN